CCCCUCUCAGGGUCACACCUGGAGAGUUUCCAGUACUCUCCCAGUCUCAGCUAUGGGAAGGAGACUCAAGCAGAGGCCUAUCCAUUCCAUUCCUAGCCUGGGCAGUGGAUAGUGAGUGGAAGGCAAUCUGCUAUAAAA
rnacentral:snoRNA from 1 species